rnacentral:rRNA from 1 species
GACGGAGGGUGCUAGCGUUGUUCGGAAUUACUGGGCGUAAAGGGCGCGUAGGCGGCUGCUCAAGUCGGGUGUGAAAGCCCGGGGCUCAACCCCGGAACGGCACCCGAGACUGGGCGGCUCGAGACCGGGAGAGGUGGGUGGAAUACCCAGUGUAGAGGUGAAAUUCGUAGAUAUCCGGAGGAACACCAGGGGCGAAAGCGGCCGACUGGUCGAGUACUGACGCUGAGGCGCGACGGCGUGGGGAGCAAACCGG